GAUGAACGCUGGCGGCGUGCCUAAUACAUGCAAGUCGAGCGAACAGACGAGGAGCUUGCUCCUCUGACGUUAGCGGCGGACGGGUGAGUAACACGUGGAUAACCUACCUAUAAGACUGGGAUAACUUCGGGAAACCGGAGCUAAUACCGGAUAAUAUAUUUAACCGCAUGGUUCAAUAGUUAAAGACGGUUUUGCUGUCACUUAUAGAUGGAUCCGCGCCGCAUUAGCUAGUUGGUAAGGUAACGGCUUACCAAGGCGACGAUGCGUAGCCGACCUGAGAGGGUGAUCGGCCACACUGGAACUGAGACACGGUCCAGACUCCUACGGGAGGCAGCAGUAGGGAAUCUUCCGCAAUGGGCGAAAGCCUGACGGAGCAACGCCGCGUGAGUGAUGAAGGUCUUCGGAUCGUAAAACUCUGUUAUUAGGGAAGAACAAAUGUGUAAGUAACUAUGCACGUCUUGACGGUACCUAAUCAGAAAGCCACGGCUAACUACGUG
rnacentral:rRNA from 1 species